rnacentral:rRNA from 1 species
GAUGAACGCUGGCGGCGUGCCUAAUACAUGCAAGUCGAGCGAACAGACGAGAAGCUUGCUUCUCUGAUGUUAGCGGCGGACGGGUGAGUAACACGUGGAUAACCUACCUAUAAGACUGGGAUAACUUCGGGAAACCGUAGCUAAUCCCGGAUAAUAUCUUGAACCUCAUGGUUCAAUAGUGAAAUACGGUCUUGCUGUCACUUAUAGAUGUAUCCGCGCUGCAUUAGCUAGUUGUUAAGGUAACGGCUUACCAAGGCAACGAUGCAUAGCCGACCUGCGAGGGUGGUCGGCGACACUGGAACGGAGACACGGUCAAGACUCCUACGGGAGGCAGCAGUAGGGAAUCUUACGCAAUGGGGGAAAGCCUGACGGAGCAACGCGGCGUGAGUGAUGAAGGUCUUGGGAUCGUAAAACUCUGUUAUUAGGGAAGAACAUAUGUGUAAGUAACUGUGCACAUAUUGACGGUACCUAAUAAGAAAGCCACGGCUAACUACGUG